CCUACGGGCGGCAGCAGUGAGGAAUAUUGGUCAAUGGGCGCGAGUCUGAACCAGCCAAGUAGCGUGAAGGAUGACUGCCCUACGGGUUGUAAACUUCUUUUAUAUGGGAAUAAAGUGAGGCACGUGUGCCUUUUUGUAUGUACUUUAUGAAUAAGGAUCGGCUAACUCCGUGCCAGCAGCCGCGGUAAUACGGAGGAUCCGAGCGUUAUCCGGAUUUAUUGGGUUUAAAGGGAGCGUAGAUGGGUUGUUAAGUCAGUUGUGAAAGUUUGCGGCUCAACCGUAAAAUUGCAGUUGAUACUGGGAGCCUUGAGUACAGUAGAGGUAGGCGGAAUUCGUGGUGUAGCGGUGAAAUGCUGAGAUAUCACGAAGAACUCCGAUUGCGAAGGAAGCCUGCUGGACUGCAACUGACGUUGAUGCUCGAAAGUGUGGGUAUCAAACAGGAUUAGAUACCCUUGUAGUC
rnacentral:rRNA from 1 species